UGAGGAAUAUUGGUCAAUGGACGAGAGUCUGAACCAGCCAAGUAGCGUGCAGGAUGACGGCCCUAUGGGUUGUAAACUGCUUUUGUUUGGGAAUAAUCGACAUUACGUGUAAUGUUUUGCAUGUACCAUUCGAAUAAGGACCGGCUAAUUCCGUGCCAGCAGCCGCGGUAAUACGGCAGGUCCAGGCGUUAUCCGGAUUUAUUGGGUUUAAAGGGAGCGUAGGCUGUUUGUUACGCGUGUUGUGAAAUGUAGGAGCUCAACUUUUAGAUUGCAGCGAGAACUGGCGGACUUGAGUGCGUACAACGUAGGCGGAAUUCAUGGUGUAGCGGUGAAAUGCUUAGAUAUCAUGACGAGCUCCGAUUGCGAAGGCAGCUUACGGGAGCGAAACUGACGCUAAAGCUCGAAGGUGCGGGUAUCGAACAGG
rnacentral:rRNA from 1 species